AGAGUUUGAUCAUGGCUCAGAUUGAACGCUGGCGGCAGGCCUAACACAUGCAAGUCGAGCGGUAGCACAGAGAGCUUGCUCUCGGGUGACGAGCGGCGGACGGGUGAGUAAUGUCUGGGAAACUGCCUGAUGGAGGGGGAUAACUACUGGAAACGGUAGCUAAUACCGCAUAANGGCUCACCUAGGCGACGAUCCCUAGCUGGUCUGAGAGGAUGACCAGCCACACUGGAACUGAGACACGGUCCAGACUCCUACGGGAGGCAGCAGUGGGGAAUAUUGCACAAUGGGCGCAAGCCUGAUGCAGCCAUGCCGCGUGUGUGAAGAAGGCCUUCGGGUUGUAAAGCACUUUCAGCGGGGAGGAAGGCGAUAAGGUUAAUAACCUUGUCGAUUGACGUUACCCGCAGAAGAAGCACCGGCUAACUCCGUGCCAGCAGCCGCGGUAAUACGGAGGGUGCAAGCGUUAAUCGGAAUUACUGGGCGUAAAGCGCACGCAGGCGGUCUGUCAAGUCGGAUGUGAAAUCCCCGGGCUCAACCUGGGAACUGCAUUCGAAACUGGCAGGCUAGAGUCUUGUAGAGGGGGGUAGAAUUCCAGGUGUAGCGGUGAAAUGCGUAGAGAUCUGGAGGAAUACCGGUGGCGAAGGCGGCCCCCUGGACAAAGACUGACGCUCAGGUGCGAAAGCGUGGGGAGCAAACAGGAUUAGAUACCCUGGUAGUCCACGCCGUAAACGAUGUCGAUUUGGAGGUUGUGCCCUUGAGGCGUGGCUUCCGGAGCUAACGCGUUAAAUCGACCGCCUGGGGAGUACGGCCGCAAGGUUAAAACUCAAAUGAAUUGACGGGGGCCCGCACAAGCGGUGGAGCAUGUGGUUUAAUUCGAUGCAACGCGAAGAACCUUACCUGGUCUUGACAUCCACAGAACUUUCCAGAGAUGGAUUGGUGCCUUCGGGAACUGUGAGACAGGUGCUGCAUGGCUGUCGUCAGCUCGUGUUGUGAAAUGUUGGGUUAAGUCCCGCAACGAGCGCAACCCUUAUCCUUUGUUGCCAGCGGU
rnacentral:rRNA from 1 species